UCUUUGGAUAGUUUGCAUGUUGUUUUGUUCGUUUGUUUGUUUGUUUGUUUGUUUGUUUGUUUGUUUGUUUGUUUGUUUGAUUUUUCAUUCGUUCGUUUGUUGGAUCGUUUGUAAUAAGUCACGACAGAGAUAACCACUAUCCCCCAGCGCUGACCACAGCUCAUGACAUCCAGCAGCCCUCGACAACAUGACCUUUUGCAUACAAGGUUUCGGCUUUCUUGAUGGUGAGCUCGUAGUUAACCCUAACCCACCAACAACAACAAGCCAGCUGUCUCUCACUGAGUUUCACCGAAGGUCUCAUGGAGUGGCUGUGUGUCCAACGCCAGCGAAGGACCUCAAGACGGGGAAGCAACACUUUAGUGCAGAAACCCGAGAACAUGAACUGUAAACUGCCAAAUAAAGUUCAGACAAUAACAUUUUAUGUUGCGGACAUGUUUUGGGCGGCUUCAUGAACACUUGUUGUCGUAGGGUUAGACAAGGGGCUUGGGGUUUGGGGUGAAGUUACAGGAUGUCCUCAGUCACAGAAUAGAAAGAAGAUAAAAUACUUAAAUAAGAAUAAAAACAAUAAUAACAAAAUCGUACUUAGACCUUCUUUGCAUCCCAUCAACACAAACAUUCAAAUGCGCAAAGCAAGUGAUUAAAAUGUGUGAUAGCCUUUGUCGGUGAGGAUAAAGAGAUAGUAAAAGAAUUUUUUUUAAAAGAUUUUUGUUAAGCUUUCUUAGUUAUCUGAAAAUUUACAAAUUUAACAGCCACAGAAUUGUUAGAUGUUGAAAUGCUUACAUAUUGUUAAGUUAGUCACAGGAUAGAAGCUAUGAGGCCUACCUAUUAAGAGGUUAAUCAGCUACAAAUAAAAUGUUUACUUUUUCACAAGUCAAAGAGCAGCAGAGCUAAUAGAAAUAUUUGCAAGUCACAGGAUAGAAGCUAUGUGUAGGUGUUCAGGAUAUAAAUAAAAGAGGGAUAAACAAGAUACAGGAUCAGGGUACAUGAGGCAGAGUGCUGAAGCAGGGUGGGUAAGAUAAAUAUUGCGGUGUUGUUGAUUGUUUAGAAUAUAAAGCAUGAUUUAUAAGUCAGAGUAGGUGUGCAGGAAAAGAAACUAAUUGUGGGGAAACGGGUGCAGCACACUUGACAGUGGUGUUGGUCAGUGCGAACUGUCAUGGCGACACAGUCUGCACCACUGUGACAACCACGUCUUCCUGUGUUUUCAAUUGUCACCUGUCCUUUUCACAUCCUGUCUCCUUGAUGGCAGUCGCCAGCCUCCCUGCAUCUCAGGUGCUUUUGGUUUCCUGUCCCACUUUUUUUGCUUUCUCUCUCUGCCUUCCUGCUCUUUCUGUGUGUGUGAGAGAGAGACAGAAUGAGCUUAUAUGUUUAAGAGAAACCACGCAUGUAUGAAUGUGUGUGUGUGUGAGCGCGCGUCUAUAUAUCCUUCUGUAAGUCUGCAUGUCUCUCUGUUCGCCAGUUUUUAUUUAUGUCUGUCUGUCUGUUGGCCUGUCCAUCGCAGUCUCUCCACCGUGUCGAUGACAAAAGCCGGUGUGACAAAGCCACGAUGACAGAAAAUGUCAGGCAGUGCGUUAACAUCUCCCUGUCCAAACAUGGCAGCCUCGCGCACCCAGACCUCAAGUGGCCAGCGAGGGCAAUCAGUCCCGGGCGUCAGGUUGAAAGGGAAAGUUUCCCCCACACCAAACUUCCCUCAUUAAGAAGAGGCAGGGCUGACCUGGACUCACACACUCCAUUGUAGUUUACCUUGUUGUAUUUGGGUUUCCCCCUACCUUUCCGUGGUCAGUGGGUGAAAGCCUGGCUUUUAAGUGGCUGGUGCGGGGGGGGGGGGGACCUUGUUGGCAGCUGGGGGGGCUACUUCUCUCCGCUCUCUUGUUGACCAUUUUCCGGGUUUGUGCCUACAGAGACUUUCAUUUCCGCUGGCUGACCCCGUUAAGAGUGAAUUAACGGUCGCUGCAGCUUUGUACCCGCUUCUAAUUAAGCGCUGCUCGACAGUCAGUCCGGGACUGACCAAAGGUGUGUUUGCUCCUGUGGGUAGGUGGGUAGGUCUGUGAACACGACUUUGUGUUCAUUAUGUUAUCGCAUGCGUACGUGUCUGUGUGUGUGUAAGUCAAUUCUGUCUGUAUGUGUUUGUGUGUGUGUGUGUGCUAUAUGUGUGGAUGGGUGAGCGGGUGGAAAGCUAAAGGCCGCUCCGCGUACCACAGAUACCCUCCCCAGGUUGAAGGGUUGACGCUCCAGGUGGAGUUCAGCCUACCUGUAAGCCUGCCUGUCCGCGCUUCCACUGAUUCCCGACCUUUUAUCCGCCCCCUUCCACCCACACUUGAGUUAUCACGCAGAGAGAGACUCACAAAAAAAAAAAAAAGCCCCCCACGAAAGAAAGAAAACCAGGCCGUGCACAUGGAAGUCGAAACCGCAGUAGGAUCGGGGACUGACUGUGGCGCGAUAUGGUCGCGUGUGUAGGUGGAGGUGAGAGGUGAGAGGUGGGGGUGGGAGUUGAAGAGAGGUGGGGGAGGGGGUUGAAGAGAGGUGGGACAGCUGAAAACGUGGGACGAUCGACUGUGGACUGUGGAUGGAGGGGCGAGGGAAAGAGAAGAUAGUGUUUGUGGGGGAUGGGGACACGGGGCAAAGGACACGUGGGAGAGAGAGAGAGUGUGUGAGUGUGGGAGGGGGGAGGUUGGGGACUGGGGAGGUAAUAUCGACAGUCGAGCAGCUGUAUGACAAGCCUCGCUUGCACUAAAAGCUCGCGGUUUGUAGUGAAAUUCGAUUUCGUAACUCAGUCCAGUCCUGCACCCGGGGGCAGCCUGACCAACCGUCUCCGUCACCCUCACAGACAAACGCACCUGCACACUGGAUCACCUUUCCUUCGCAUACGAGUUGAGGGGUCUCUCUGCAAUAUUUAUUUCUUUCUGUUUUGUUUUUAUCGUUUGCAUUGAUUUCAAACGACCAGAACGUUUUAAAAAGUCAUCCACCAAAUUCCUGCAAGUACUAUUCAACGAUGAAAAUGAGAGACAGAGAAAGAGAAAGAGAGUGUGAGAGACACACACACAUGCUAUGAAAUAUUAUGUUCAGUAUAAGUGUGCAGAUGUGUGCAUAGGAUGUGUGAAUGCAAUCGUGUCUGUGUGUGUGUGUGAGGGUUGUCCCUGGAGCGCAGGCACUUUGUAUGCUGGCGAUUGUAGGAAGGAGUUAAUGUUUUCUGGGUGAAGAGAGAAUGAGAGGAGAAAGGAACGCUGGUCUAAGUAUUGUGCCUGUUGGGCUGUUACACCAACCGCCGUAGUUCGCACGUGUUCAAGGACCUAUACAGUGUGUCAGGCUAUAAGAUAAAGACGGCCACUACCGAAGAAUGUAUAGCUUCAUGCUGAGAAAAAAAAUCCCUUUUUCCCCUCCCGCACAGGUGUUUGGGUCUGUGGUUCGGGAGUGUCAGGGUGGUGUGCUCCUGAAUGCCUCUUCAAGUUAGAAACGAGAAAAGUUCUAAAUGAAUGCUUUGGAAAACACCAGGGACAUGAAGUUUGGAGCUAGAGUUUUUUCACGCUGAAAAAAAAAAAAGAUUUGCGGCAAUGGAGAGAAAAAUGUGGCAGGGCCUUGAUGGGUUUAUUUCUAAAGGCUGGAGUUGUGGAUGAUCAGCCAACGAGUGUUUGUUCUCAAGACUGGUGGUGGAGAUGAUCGUGGCCCUGUGUGAGCUGAGAGCUGUACACGUGGGGUGGUGGUGGUGUAGGUGGUGGUGGUGGUGGUGUAGGUGGUGGUGGUGCGUGUGUAAGAGAGAGAGAGAGACCGAAGGGUGAGUUUAGUACAAUGAGUGUUUGAGUGUGUGUAGUGAAGAAGUGAUAAAGGAGGGCGCGUUUGUACUUGUGUAUGUGUGCGUGCGCGCGCACAUGUGUGUAUGUGUGAUUGUGUGAGGGGUGGGAGAGAGAGGAAGUGAGCUGGUGCGAGUUCCUUCUCACCCGAUGAAAACCUGUUGGGUAGAGAUAUGAAUAUCGUAUUUGUACAUCAACAAUAUCGUCACUGAGUCUACUUUUUCAAAACAAAACAAAAACUAGGAGAGUUUCGACUCAACGUUCUUUUUCUAAUUAAAAUCUUCUAAAAGAUAGCUUCCACCCACCCAUCCACUCAACCCCGCCCUUAUCAACAAAAUCAAUGUCCAUGGCAGAAGAUGCAAGCUUAGCGCCACCUGUUGUCGAAUUCUCGUGAUUAUACUCCGCGGCCGAAGACGACAGUCACGUGACUCACGGUAAUUAUUUCUUCAUUUCGUCAGAGCGACUUUCUUGUUUCAUCUCAUCUUCGUCAAAGAACCCCUACCAACCCCCGUCCUCCAAGAACGAGGGAAAUAAGCAGAGGGGCUUUGGCGGAUUUUCAGAUUUCUUCCCACCUUCGACUUUUGAGCUCACGAGUCCCCCACUCGCCCCAUCCCACGCCUCCCACCUCUUUGAAAAGAGUUUCCUAAUGAAGUCGAAACGCCUGACAUUCAAACAUAAAUAAUAAAAAAAAGAAAAUGUGGAGGAAAAGAAGAAGAAAUGGCGGAAGACUGUACAGGCUAGACGAGAGGUAUUAAUGCUACAGGCUGGCGGGGCCUGGGUCGCAGCCGGGCCGCCUGCUGAUUAAUAUCAUCUUAGCUCUGGAAUCAAAAGUGUCAGGCGGACCAGCGCCAUCUUGCCCAAGCCUGGCCUGCGUCAUGGAAGGCGAUUACUGUCAGGUUCUCAAGCCCCCGAGAAACCUCCGCAGUUCGUUUUUGUUAUCGUUAUUACCACUACUUCUAAAAACUUUUCAUUAGCUCGUGGUCUGCUGGACGAUUUUUUUUUCUCCAUAGCAAAAGAGGUGGGAGCAAAAAAAAAAAAAAAAAAAAAAAACAAACAAACAAUAUCCAAGCCGAGUUGCCAGGGAUUAAUCAGAGACGUUCAAGAAGUAGUUGACGGCCACGGGAUGUGAACCAUCGGACGUUUGCUCAAUUAGUUGGCCAUGCGGAUGAGAAGGCGGUCCGCGGGUCCUCAGCCUGUAAGAAGUCCAUUCAGAAGGCAAGACUUAUUUAUAGAGUAUCAGUCCCACGCUUUCUAAGACGAUAGAUUACUGUUCAAAUCUGCCUUUCAGAUAGUCAAAUAUUUGACUUUGUGUUGCUCCCUCCAUCUCACCCCGGCCGCCAGCAUCCUCCACGGCCUCUGUGUGGCCACAUGAACCCCCCAGUAUCUGGCAGAAAGGUACUGCGUGCUGCACUGAAACAGUUUUCAUUUCUCCUCUGGCAUACACGCCAUGUUGGCCGCACAAACUGGCUUUGUCCGAGUCAAUAUGUAGCCUGGCGAUCUCUGCCCUCGUCGUCACACAAACACAAAUGUCUCCGUUUCACAUCAGCAUGUUCACUGGCUGGCCUCCUGGCGGCGCUGGUGACGCUGAUGACGCUGAUGACGCUGUGUAGUUGGGAACACAUCUACUGAACAGGAAAUUAUGGGAUGCCAGUCCCCUGGGCCAUGUAUCACCAGCCGCGAUGGUGGUAUGCACCGGAGUUUCCUCCCCCUGCGGGCAGAAUACUCACCUGAGCCUCCUACCUCCAGCCCCUGCUCUUCUCGCUGUCAUCGUCAGCAGCAGCAGCGCCAUCGUCAGUCUGGUCACCACGGAGGACCGUUGCUUUGAUGAAACGCCUCAGUGUGGAACACGGAGUGUGAGAACCACAACCCACUCUUCGCACGAGGAAGACAAGUUUCGUUCUUGUUGUCAUGGGGUUAGAGAGGAGGUUGGAACUUUCUUCUUUUCCUCCCUUGAACUUUACGUUUUGAUUUAGCUUCAUCGUUGUGCAUCGUCAAUAAAGAUUUUUUUUUCCUUUAAUAUUGGAGGUGGAAGCUGUGAGUGAACUGCAGGUUAGAGGGCACGGCAAUGGCCGGAGUCGUCAGUACAUGACGUCGAUGUAUGACAUCAAUGUAUGAAUGACGUCAGGUCUGUCAAUAUAUGACGUCAGGUUUUUCGAUACAUGACGUCAGAUUUUUCACUAUAUGACGUCGGGGAGAAACAAAAUGAAGAGCACGGUACUACUGUCAGCAGAACGACUUGUGUUCGUCGACUCGAUAACCAAAGACCUGAAUAACCUGCGAACGCCACAGGUUUGGAAAUAUUAGUGGCAUUGUUACUAAAACUUGAUGACACGUUCAUACUUCAUUUGUGUGUAUUUUGUGUGCGGGAUCCUGUGAUCAUUAGGAUACGGAGAGGGUUUAGAUUUUUCACAUAGAAUCUUUUUUCUUUUUUUUUCAAGUAUCAUAUCUUCAACUCUGCUCAUCUCUUUGUGACAGAAACACAUUUUAUUCGACUAGAGCGUUUGGAGGACGAUAAAAAUAAGGUUCGCAUCAAAUUAGUUUGAAACGAUACUUUCAGAGACCACAGAAUCCUGUUGCUACCACAGUGAUUGAAAUUGCGUUACGUUCAUGAUUCGAAGACAAUCACGUGCUACCCACAGUGUGGCGGAAGUGACGUCUGUCUGCACCGUGACUCCAGAUCACAUGGAUCGUUCUGACGCUCACAGUGAGAUUUCAGCGAGACUUCGGUGAGACUUGAAUGAGACCUGACGCUCGCCUCCUAUCGUUACGUUCCAGUGAUAAUCGUAUUCACGUGCUGCACAACGGUGUUCCCUUCCCACCUGAAAGAAAAGCACGUGCAGAAACGCACGAACACACACCAAGGUUCGCCAAUGUCGGAUUCUGGUGGAAGAAAUAAAAGUGUUGUUACUUGCUCAAGAAGGCCAAUCCUGUUCGAGCGCCAUGUUUGCAUGCGGGCAAUUAGAUGGCGAGGAGAGGAGUAUUGGCAGUCAUUACUUACAUGUCGUAUGCAGGUGCGUGUCGAAGGAUCUUAGACGUCUACCGUCGGUGGACAACACUCAAAGACACGCAAGGCAGGUGCUCUGCAAGAGAGAGAGAGAGAAGGAGAGAGAAAACAAAUCAAUAUGCUUUUUACUGAGCUCUGCCUCACCCGUAUGUACACAGUUUGUUACACAUGGUGCUUGGAGUGUGGAUUAAAGGAGCCGAGAAAGACAGAGAAUAAUAGGACGAGCAGACAGCUGUGGGAAACGUGUAGCAGAGUUCCAAACAUUCAUAACUACACAUAUCCGCAAGAGUCACCGGAGACAAAUGUGUGCAAUAGAA